AUGGGCGCAAGCCUGAUCCAGCAAUGCCGCGUGAGUGAAGAAGGCCUUCGGGUUGUAAAGCUCUUUUGUCAGGGAAGAAACGGUGNGGGCUAAUAUCCUUCACUAAUGACGGUACCUGAAGAAUAAGCACCGGCUAACUACGUGCCAGCAGCCGCGGUAAUAA
rnacentral:rRNA from 1 species